AUUGAAAUCUGGCGGCAGGCUUAACACAUGCAAGUCGAGCGAGCGGCGGACGGGUGAGUAAUGUCUGGGAAACUGCCUGAUUGAGGGGGAUCACUACUGGAAACGGUAGCUAAUACCGCAUACCAUCCGAUGUGCCCAUAUGGGAUUAGCUAGUAGGUGGGGUAAUGGCUCACCUAGGCGCAGAUCCCUAGCUGGUCUGAGAGGAUGACAAGCCACACGGGAAGUGAGACAAGGUCCAGAAACCUACUGGAGGCAGAAGUGGGUAAGAUGGAACAAUGGGCGAAAGCCGGAGGCAGCCAUGCGGCGUGUGUGAAGAAGGCCUUCGGGCUGUAAAGCACUUGCAGCGAGGAGGCGUUAUUCGAAGAGGAAGCAACGGCUAACUCCGUGCCAGCAGCCGCGGUAAUUC
rnacentral:rRNA from 1 species